rnacentral:rRNA from 1 species
UACGGGGGGGGCAAGCGUUGUUCGGAAUUACUGGGCGUAAAGGGCUCGUAGGCGGCCAACUAAAGUCGGAUGUGAAAUCCCCAGGCUUAACCUGGGAACUGCAUCCGAUACUGGAUGGCUUGAAUCCGGGAGAGGGAUGCAGAAUUCCAGGUGUAGCGGUGAAAUGCGUAGAUAUCUGGAGGAAUACCGGUGGCGAAGGCGGCAUCCUGGACCGGCAUUGACGCUGAGUGAGCGAAAGCCAGGGGGAGCAAACGGG